rnacentral:rRNA from 1 species
UACGUAGGGGGCAAGCGUUAUCCGGAUUUACUGGGUGUAAAGGGAGCGUAGACGGAAUGGCAAGUCUGAUGUGAAAGGCGGGGGCUCAACCCCUGGACUGCAUUGGAAACUGCCAGUCUUGAGUACCGGAGGGGUAAGCGGAAUUCCUAGUGUAGCGGUGAAAUGCGUAGAUAUUAGGAGGAACACCAGUGGCGAAGGCGGCUUACUGGACGGUAACUGACGUUGAGGCUCGAAAGCGUGGGGAGCAAACAGG